GGGGAGAAAUAAAUGUCAUCACAUUUUUUUAUUGUACUGGUACAGACGUCGAGGUGUGUUGGUGGUUUGUCCAAUAUCUCCUAACUGGUCAGUGCCAGGGUGGAGAUGGAACCAGACCAUCCUUCCAUUCGCUUCCCUGCUGUGUCAGGCAGGGAUGGACUGGCCGUUAUUCCACAGAGUCCCGUGGCAUAGAUGCCAACAGUAAGGAUUUGUCUAUCAGGUUGGUUUAUCUGGGAAAAUUUUAAAUAUUCUGCUUUUCUUUCCUUUCCCCAGCCUCAUUAUUAAGUAGAUGCCAGAUGGUGAAUUGCAGAUUGUAUUUCAAUUUGUCCAUUCGCUCUGAAAUUUUAUGACCUUGGUUUCACAUCCACAGGGAAAAAUGUUUCCAAAGAAGCUUGAAAAUCAUUGAAGGGAUUGAAUGUCCCUCCAGUAGCCCCCUGGGAUACAGCUAGAGGGCACUGUUGAAGAUGCUGUGCUGUCUUACUCUCUGCCUCCCAUGGAUUUUUCAUCCCGUGGGAUAAGCAAAGAACACAGUAGCCGUAACAUCACGCAGGAUAAAAGAGCCAUAACGAGAGACUAACAAGGGUAAUUUGCUAUGGGACACUUGACACAGCAGGAAAUGGGGGGAGCAGAAAGUGUAAGAACAGCUGGAACACCUGGAGAAAUGCUAUACUUGCACCGGAUUGUGGAUUCAACAUCUUCAUUUCGUUUGCUACCUGGUAU